UGAGUCAGCACCAGAUCACAUAAAGAAGUUGACAGAGGUUUUGGACGAUUCAGGAGCUGAUGUGGCCCCAGCUCCUGAGGUGGAACGUCCUCAUGAAGCCAGCCCAGAUCUCAGCACUCCUAAAACUGGUGAGGACA